CCUAUGGGGGGCAGCAGUCGCGAAAACUUCGCAAUGGGGGCAACCCCGACGAGGGAAUUCCAAGUGCUAGCACUUUGUGUUAGCUGUUCUUCUGUCUAAAAAACAGGAGGAGUAAGGGGCGGGUAAGACGGGUGCCAGCCGCCGCGGUAAUACCCGCGCCCCAAGUGGUGGUCGAUAUUAUUGAGCCUAAAACGUCCGUAGCCGGUCUUCUAAAUCCUUGGGUAAAUCGGGCAGCUUAACUGUCCGAAGUCCGGGGAGACUGGGAGACUUGGGACCGGGAGAGGUCAGAGGUACUUCUGGGGUAGGGGUAAAAUCCUGUAAUCCUGGAAGGACCACCGGUGGCGAAGGCGUCUGACUAGAACGGAUCCGACGGUGAGGGACGAAGCCCUGGGGCGCAAACGGGAUUAGAUACCCCAGUAGUCC
rnacentral:rRNA from 1 species